GGGGAAUCUUGCGCAAUGGGCGAAAGCCUGACGCAGCAACGCCGCGUGGGGGAUGAAGGCUUUCGGGUUGUAAACCCCUUUCAGCAGGGACGAUUAUGACGGUACCUGCAGAAGAAGGACCGGCCAACUACGUGCCAGCAGCCGCGGUAAUACGUAGGGUCCAAGCGUUGUCCGGAUUUAUUGGGCGUAAAGAGCUCGUAGGCGGCUCAGUAAGUCGGAUGUGAAAACUCGGGGCUCAACCCCGAGACGCCAUCCGAUACUGCUGUGGCUUGAGUCUGGUAGGGGAACACGGAAUUCCUGGUGUAGCGGUGAAAUGCGCAGAUAUCAGGAGGAACACCGAUGGCGAAGGCAGUGUUCUGGGCCAGUACUGACGCUGGGGAGCGAAAGCGUGGGUAGCAAAC
rnacentral:rRNA from 1 species